rnacentral:rRNA from 1 species
AUGGCGUCUCAUACUCUCACUCAUCUCACCUGCCCCGUCAAAAUCAUGCCCAUCGUCACGGAAGCAGUCCUCGCCGUGGCCUCAUCAGACGGUUUUGACCGCCGGCGAGAGCUGCAGGAGUUCGACGACACCAAGGCCGGCGUCAAGGGCCUGGUCGACUCCGGCACCAAGUCCAUCCCGGCCAUCUUCCACCACCCCCCGUGCUCCCUGCCCCAGGGCCAGGAGCGAGUCACGUCCGCCACUGGCACUGAUGCUGCGGUCCCGGUCAUCGACCUCCUAGCCGCCCCGCGGGAGGAGGUGGUCGGCCUGGUGAGGGCCGCAGCCGAGACGGCCGGCUUCUUCCAGGUGGUCAACCACGGCGUGCCAGGCCAGGCCAUGGCCGCCGUGCUCGCGGCCGUGAGGCGGUUCAACGAGGAGCCCGCGGAGGCGAAGAGGCCAUAUUACACCAGGGACACCACCACCGGCAAGGUGCGUUUCUACUCCAACCUGGACCUCUUCCAGUCGCCGGCGGCCUGCUGGCGUGACACCAUCUUCUGCGACAUGGCGCCGGAGCCGCCGCUGCCGGAGGAGCUGCCGGAGGCCCUCAGGGGCGUGCUCAUCGAGUACGCUGAUGCUGUGCAGAAGCAUGCGCUGUGGGUGUUCGAGCUGCUCUCGGAGUCCCUCGGGCUGGCCGGCGACUACCUGGUCCGCGAGAUGGGCUGCGGGGAGAGCCUCAAGGUGGCCGGCAACUACUACCCGCCGUGCCCGGAGCCGCACCUCACGCUCGGCAACAGCAGGCACACCGACCCGACUUUCCUCACCGUCCUCCUGCAGGACGCCGUGGGCGGCCUGCAGGUGCUUCUCGACCACGGAGGCGGCCGCAGGGGCUGGGUGGACGUCCCUCCCGUGCCCGGCGCACUCAUCAUCAACGUCGGCGACCUUCUUCAGCUCGUCAGCAACGGCCGGUUCAGGAGCGUGGAGCACCGAGUUCUGGCCAACAAAAGCACGGACGCGGCAAGGGUCUCCGUGGCGGCUUUCGUCGACGUGGGGAGGUCUAUGAGGCUGUAUGGCCCCAUCCAAGAACUCACGUCGCCCCAUGGUGCCAAUCCCCCAAUCUACAGGAGCGUCACCAUCGAGGACUUCAUCGCGCACUUUUACAAGAAAGGCAGCGAGAAUCGUCCCAGGCUCGACUACUUCAAGCUGGAGUAG